rnacentral:rRNA from 1 species
AGCACCCUUCGGGGUGUGACUGCGUACCUUUUGUAUAAUGGGUCAGCGACUUAUAUUCUGUAGCAAGGUUAACCGAAUAGGGGAGCCGGAGGGAAACCGAGUCUUAAUUGGGCGUUAAGUUGCAGGGUAUAGACCCGAAACCCGGUGAUCUAGCCAUGGGCAGGUUGAAGGUUGGGUAACACUAACUGGAGGACCGAACCGACUAAUGUUGAAAAAUUAGCGGAUGACCUGUGGCUGGGGGUGAAAGGCCAAUCAAACCGGGAGAUAGCUGGUUCUCCCCGAAAGCUAUUUAGGUAGCGCCUCGUGAACUCAUCUCCGGGGGUAGAGCACUGUUUCGGCUAGGGGGCCAUCCCGGCUUACCAACCCGAUGCAAACUGCGAAUACCGGAGAAUGUUAUCACGGGAGACACACGGCGGGUGCUAACGUCCGUCGUGAAGAGGGAAACAACCCAGACCGCCAGCUAAGGUCCCAAAGUCAUGGUUAAGUGGGAAACGAUGUGGGAAGGCCCAGACAGCCAGGAUGUUGGCUUAGAAGCAGCCAUCAUUUAAAGAAAGCGUAAUAGCUCACUGGUCGAGUCGGCCUGCGCGGAAGAUGUAACGGGGCUAAACCAU